UACAGAGGGGGCAAGCGUUGUUCGGAAUUACUGGGCGUAAAGGGCGCGUAGGUGGCCUUCUAAGUCGAACGUGAAAUCCCUGGGCUCAACCCAGGAACUGCGUCCGAGACUGGGAGGCUUGAAUCCGGGAGAGGGAUGCGGAAUUCCAGGUGUAGAGGUGAAAUUCGUAGAUAUUCGCAAGAACACCAGUGGCGAAGGCGGCUCACUGGCCCGGUACUGACGCUGAGGUGCGAAAGCGUGGGGAGCAAACAGG
rnacentral:rRNA from 1 species